rnacentral:rRNA from 1 species
CCCUUAGAUGUCCGGGGCUGCACGCGCGCUACACUGAAGGAAUCAACGUGCUAAAACCAUUGUCGAAAGGCAUUGGUAAACCCAUUAAAAUCCUACGUGAUUGGGAUCGGGAAUUGCAAUUAUUUCCCUUGAACGAGGAAUUCCCAGUAAGUGUGGGUCAUAAGCUCGCGUUGAUUACGUCCCUGCCCUUUGUACACACCGCCCGUCGCUGCCCGGGACUGAGCCGUUUCGAGAAAAGCGGGGACUGCUGCUGUCGGGGCUUUCGGGCCUUGGCUUCGGUGGAAACCGCUUUAAUCGCAGUGGCUUGAACCGGGCAAAAGUCGUAACA